GGGUUGUGAGGUUAAGCGACUAAGCGUACACGGUGGAUGCCCUGGCAGUCAGAGGCGAUGAAGGACGUGCUAAUCUGCGAUAAGCGUCGGUAAGGUGAUAUGAACCGUUAUAACCGGCGAUUUCCGAAUGGGGAAACCCAGUGUGUUUCGACACACUAUCAUUAACUGAAUCCAUAGGUUAAUGAGGCGAACCGGGGGAACUGAAACAUCUAAGUACCCCGAGGAAAAGAAAUCAACCGAGAUUCCCCCAGUAGCGGCGAGCGAACGGGGAGCAGCCCAGAGCCUGAAUCAGUGUGUGUGUUAGUGGAAGCGUCUGGAAAGGCGCGCGAUACAGGGUGACAGCCCCGUACACAAAAAUGCACAUACUGUGAGCUCGAUGAGUAGGGCGGGACACGUGGUAUCCUGUCUGAAUAUGGGGGGACCAUCCUCCAAGGCUAAAUACUCCUGACUGACCGAUAGUGAACCAGUACCGUGAGGGAAAGGCGAAAAGAACCCCGGCGAGGGGAGUGAAAAAGAACCUGAAACCGUGUACGUACAAGCAGUGGGAGCACAGAGCAAUCUGUGUGACUGCGUACCUUUUGUAUAAUGGGUCAGCGACUUAUAUUCUGUAGCAAGGUUAACCGAAUAGGGGAGCCGAAGGGAAACCGAGUCUUAACUGGGCGUUAAGUUGCAGGGUAUAGACCCGAAACCCGGUGAUCUAGCCAUGGGCAGGUUGAAGGUUGGGUAACACUAACUGGAGGACCGAACCGACUAAUGUUGAAAAAUUAGCGGAUGACUUGUGGCUGGGGGUGAAAGGCCAAUCAAACCGGGAGAUAGCUGGUUCUCCCCGAAAGCUAUUUAGGUAGCGCCUCGUGAAUUCAUCUCCGGGGGUAGAGCACUGUUUCGGCAAGGGGGUCAUCCCGACUUACCAACCCGAUGCAAACUGCGAAUACCGGAGAAUGUUAUCACGGGAGACACACGGCGGGUGCUAACGUCCGUCGUGAAGAGGGAAACAACCCAGACCGCCAGCUAAGGUCCCAAAGUCAUGGUUAAGUGGGAAACGAUGUGGGAAGGCCCAGACAGCCAGGAUGUUGGCUUAGAAGCAGCCAUCAUUUAAAGAAAGCGUAAUAGCUCACUGGUCGAGUCGGCCUGCGCGGAAGAUGUAACGGGGCUAAACCAUGCACCGAAGCUGCGGCAGCGACACUAUGUGUUGUUGGGUAGGGGAGCGUUCUGUAAGCCUGUGAAGGUGUACUGUGAGGUAUGCUGGAGGUAUCAGAAGUGCGAAUGCUGACAUAAGUAACGAUAAAGCGGGUGAAAAGCCCGCUCGCCGGAAGACCAAGGGUUCCUGUCCAACGUUAAUCGGGGCAGGGUGAGUCGACCCCUAAGGCGAGGCCGAAAGGCGUAGUCGAUGGGAAACAGGUUAAUAUUCCUGUACUUGGUGUUACUGCGAAGGGGGGACGGAGAAGGCUAUGUUGGCCGGGCGACGGUUGUCCCGGUUUAAGCGUGUAGGCUGGUUUUCCAGGCAAAUCCGGAAAAUCAAGGCUGAGGCGUGAUGACGAGGCACUACGGUGCUGAAGCAACAAAUGCCCUGCUUCCAGGAAAAGCCUCUAAGCAUCAGGUAACAUCAAAUCGUACCCCAAACCGACACAGGUGGUCAGGUAGAGAAUACCAAGGCGCUUGAGAGAACUCGGGUGAAGGAACUAGGCAAAAUGGUGCCGUAACUUCGGGAGAAGGCACGCUGAUAUGUAGGUGAAGCGACUUGCUCGUGGAGCUGAAAUCAGUCGAAGAUACCAGCUGGCUGCAACUGUUUAUUAAAAACACAGCACUGUGCAAACACGAAAGUGGACGUAUACGGUGUGACGCCUGCCCGGUGCCGGAAGGUUAAUUGAUGGGGUUAGCGGUAACGCGAAGCUCUUGAUCGAAGCCCCGGUAAACGGCGGCCGUAACUAUAACGGUCCUAAGGUAGCGAAAUUCCUUGUCGGGUAAGUUCCGACCUGCACGAAUGGCGUAAUGAUGGCCAGGCUGUCUCCACCCGAGACUCAGUGAAAUUGAACUCGCUGUGAAGAUGCAGUGUACCCGCGGCAAGACGGAAAGACCCCGUGAACCUUUACUAUAGCUUGACACUGAACAUUGAGCCUUGAUGUGUAGGAUAGGUGGGAGGCUUAGAAGUGUGGACGCCAGUCUGCAUGGAGCCGACCUUGAAAUACCACCCUUUAAUGUUUGAUGUUCUAACGUUGGCCCCUGAUCGGGGUUGCGGACAGUGUCUGGUGGGUAGUUUGACUGGGGCGGUCUCCUCCUAAAGAGUAACGGAGGAGCACGAAGGUUGGCUAAUCCUGGUCGGACAUCAGGAGGUUAGUGCAAUGGCAUAAGCCAGCUUGACUGCGAGCGUGACGGCGCGAGCAGGUGCGAAAGCAGGUCAUAGUGAUCCGGUGGUUCUGAAUGGAAGGGCCAUCGCUCAACGGAUAAAAGGUACUCCGGGGAUAACAGGCUGAUACCGCCCAAGAGUUCAUAUCGACGGCGGUGUUUGGCACCUCGAUGUCGGCUCAUCACAUCCUGGGGCUGAAGUAGGUCCCAAGGGUAUGGCUGUUCGCCAUUUAAAGUGGUACGCGAGCUGGGUUUAGAACGUCGUGAGACAGUUCGGUCCCUAUCUGCCGUGGGCGCUGGAGAACUGAGGGGGGCUGCUCCUAGUACGAGAGGACCGGAGUGGACGCAUCACUGGUGUUCGGGUUGUCAUGCCAAUGGCACUGCCCGGUAGCUAAAUGCGGAAGAGAUAAGUGCUGAAAGCAUCUAAGCACGAAACUUGCCCCGAGAUGAGUUCUCCCUGACUCCUUGAGAGUCCUGAAGGAACGUUGAAGACGACGACGUUGAUAGGCCGGGUGUGUAAGCGCAGCGAUGCGUUGAGCUAACCGGUACUAAUGAACCGUGAGGCUUAACCUUACAACGCCGAAG
rnacentral:rRNA from 1 species